CUGUCUGUCCUGAACAUCUGACUUCAAGAUUUGACCAUUGGAAAAGAACAUAAAUUGCAUUUCAGAGUUGCAGGAAUGAAGGCUGUAUUUUAGAGGGUCCUGACUGCAAAUUGCACUAGAAGCCUAAUGAUGCUGAAGUUCCAAAAAUUAAAUACUGGUCUUCAAAACUGGGCCUCUCAUCUACCCAAGGAAAUUAUUUUCAGAGACUACUGAAGCACAGUCCAGGUGUUACCUGUAUCACACUGGGAAGCACAAAAGCCUGAGCAAUCCAGCUGCUGUUGGAUCUACUUGAAAAUUU